AAACAAUCCAGGAUCUCUCACAGUUUGAAUUUUUUUUUCUUUCUUUUUCUUUUUCUUUUUUUUUUAAGUCGCAGCAUCUGUUCAGUGGCAAUGGAAAAUAAAAGUGUCUAAUUGGGCCGUUCUCACGGAAUCCGAAAGUGCCUGACCUCGAGGCUUUCGGUUGCGGGCCGGCGCCAGUGCGCAGGCGCUCGCGGUGUCGGUUUGCCUCCCGGAAUGACCUUUUCCGAACCCUACGGAAAGCGCCUCCGGAUAUAACAGCACAAAGAACCAGAGAAGACAAUUUUUACAAAUAAUGGCACAAAGAACCUGAGAAGACAAUCUGUCCAAGUUACCACAGCUAUAAAUAACAAAAUAUCUGUAUGAUUAUUAUUUAACUAAGCAGAGCAUUACUUUGGGCUACACUUGAAAGUUUACCUGUUCAAGUAUAACAAUGAACCGGGAAGCUGGUGGCAGAGUAUAUGCUAAUACAACAUACGUUGGUCCAAAACCUAAAACUCCAAUCUGGAAUAUCAUGAAAAGUGAGCCGUGGAAGAUAGAAUGGAUCACUGAAUGGGAAGUUUUCCUGUAUCCACUGGCCCAAUGUUGAAGGAGGAAAUAGGGAAUUGAAAGUGUGGACAAGAACAUGGCCCACCAGGUCCAAACAACAACAGGCAAUUUGCCAAAAGCAUAAGACAAGAGACUGAACUCAAGUACCAGCCUGGGGGAAAAAAGCAGAGAGAAAGAAUACAGAAGUGAAUUUUUUAUAUAUAUUGUAUUCCCAGACUUUCAACAUUAUGUAACAUCAUAACGUUUAACCCAAUGAUGUAAUGAUUCUGCUACAUAGAGACCCACUUCUAACUCUUAAGGUUUAGCCUUCUGUUUCACAAUUGCUCUCAACAACAAAUUUUCCUAAAAGCCCUAAGAUUCUAUGAUCAAAGAGUUUGAACUUCUCAACUUUUCAUAUUAAUGAAAAUUUUAAAACUCUUACUAUGUCUUUUUAAAGAUUAGGAUUUGAUUGUAUGCUAAAAGUAUUUAAUCAUGUUUUUCAAAAUAUAAAUUCCAAUAAGGUACUUAUCUUUAGGAACUUAAUCUUCAAUAUAUCUCAUUGUAUAAAAUUUAUAUACUGUACACAAAAUUCUCCUACUUGGGAAAAUUACCUAGAAACUACUGAUUAUGGUGGAUUAAAAUUUAUCAUAUAAAAAUAAAAUUGAUGAAACUUCUAA